CACAGAUUUUGACAAAACAAAUGCAGCCAGGACAGGAUGCUCCUCGUUUUACAGCUCCAGCCUAUAUCAACGGGAAGGUGGAAGACAUUGAUCUAAACAGUUACAGAGGUCACUAUGUGAUUCUCAUCUUUUAUCCUGAGGAUUUUGGAGCAGUGAUAACCACACAGUUAAUUCAAAUAUCUCGGCUGAAAAAUACUUUGCCAGACGACUGUGCUGUUCUUGCAGUUUCCACAGAUUCUGUUGAGUCUCAUGUUGCCUAUGCUGAGCUAAAUGUUGAAAAUGGAGGGGUGAAAAACACAAACAUUCCACUUGUAAGUGAUAAAAAUGGAGAAAUCUGCCGAAGGUAUCAAGUUUUACACAAUGCUCAUCAUGUGGCUGCCAACUCAGGGUUUGUCAUUGACAGAGAAGGCGAGAUUGUUAUGAUGUACUACUGCGAUGACAAUCUGGGCUACGAUAUGUCCGAGCCAGUUCGAGUUGUUCUUGGAGCCAUAGCUUGUGAUAAAGAGGAGGCCUGGGAUAAACUAAGAGGUACAGGGGCUGACUGGACACCUGGGGAAUCAUUGGUUCAGGUUAACAAUGUGAUCAUCAGUCGUAACAUUAAAAGAAGCAUUUCUCACGGAGAUUUCAAGGAAUAUAGUAAAUCAUCUUCUGUAGAAAAUCAAGCAUCUUCUACAGCUAAACCAGAUAAAUCCUCUUCACCAACCUCUCUAAAAGUUUCAUCUCUUGAAGAAGAAGUUCUACAAAGCAUGUGUUCCGUAACAGGCUUGAGACAAUUUUGUUGCUUACUGUAAUUCAACAGCUGCUUCUACCCAAGAUGCUCAUGAGAAUGAAGAGAAUAAGAUUGCUGAAAAUACAACAAUUACGAAGUAAAAUAAGUUGAAAGACGAAUAGAUGUUAUAACAAGUCUUCAAUUUUUUUUACAUAAAUAUAAGGAUAUGUGUUAGAAAUCAAUAUUACAGUAUACAGCGGCAGCUGGAGGUCUUGCAGAACAAUAUCUAUUCCCUUCCUUUGCAGCCUGAUAGUGUACAGUGUACAGCUUUGAUAAUUCUAAUAAAAUAAAACAUAGUUUCUGGCAAAAAAUUAGUUCUUUUGUCUGUCA